GGAACCCCAAAUGCUUCCUGAUCGAGGCUGCUGCAUGUCCGGCCUGACAGUGCACGCACAGCGCCCAGCUUCACUCUCUGCACCCAGGAGGCUUUCCCGGGACUCUGGACCCACCUGCAUAGAGGGUCCAGCACCAUCGGCCACCAGGCCGUGAGGUGGCCCCUUGGGGUGGGCGGGGUCAGGAGGAUGGCCGGCCCCUUAGGGAGACGACCCUGCCCCGAAGCCGGGCAGGUUUCGCUCUGUUUUGUUUGUGAUACUCAUGCACACCGGCUUUUCUCUGUAUUAAUCCCUUUUACAAAGCUUUUAGGAAACAUACAAAAAAGCAUAAAGAAUAAAACAAGAUACUCACGUCCCUGUGGCCUAGUAUAAGGGAAACAAAAUGAACAUCGCGGAGAGCGCAGCAGCCCCAUGGCGGCCCCCUGACUGCGCCCCCGCCCCCCACCCAAGGCCAUCUUGAGUUUGGGGCAUAUCCGUCCCUCAUCCCACUGGCAGCCCAGAGGGCACGGCCCCCUCGCACAUGGACACAGAAGGGGCUGCAUCGUAGCACUGCAGCAACAGAAAUUGUGGAAGCCACGAAAGACAUGAAAACUCUGCAGAUAGAAAUGCAGCGACCAGAAGCUCUCUGUCACUGAUGCAUUAGCUCUCGACACAAGGAGUGACAGGUCUAGUGCAUGGCCCGCUUGGGACACGGAAGCCUGUGGGUGGACAGCCCAUAACACAAUGACAAAGUACAGGGCCUGGACCAAGCCUGACCCCUGCUAGCUAUUCCUGGCCAAAGGCUCACCCACACUCAGAUGAGGGGCUGUUACCAUUUGACAGGGGCGUGAAGUCAUGCAGCGCGGGGCAGCGUUUGCAGAGAGGGCUCAGUGUAAUCUGGCGGGUAAGGGGCCCUAAGUCCGUUCCGUGGUGAAGUCAAUGCUCAGCUGGGUCUACCUACCGGGCUCCCAUUUGGAAUAUAAAGUAAAAAUAAAUAAAUAAAUUUCAUCUAAAUAAAAUGGAAGCCCUAGUGGCUCGUUGGGGUGACUUGGAGCACUUCCUAAGGGACAGAUGAGAGUGGAUGGGAGCUGACAUUUAGCUGUAGUUCCAAAUUUACGGAACAUCUCCUUGCAAUAUGUCCAGGUGAGCCUGGAAGUGCACUGGGCUGGGCGGCCAGCGGAGCUGCCUGCCCUCCGGGCUGCUCUGCCAGCACCUUCCUCCUGCCCCACGCUGGGCACAGGCCAUCUGUUUAUAUUGUGGGGUCAGUUGCCCAAGCUCCUGCCAAAGGUGGCUUUCUGUUUAAAACUUCUUUCUCCUUUCUUUGUUUCAGGAUGGGUCACAUUGUGUAUUAGUCUGCUUGAGGUGCCAUAACAAAAUCCCACAGACUGGGUGCCUUGAACAAUAGAAUUCAUUUUCUCACAAUUCUGAAGGCUGGGAGGUUCAACGUCAAGGUGCUGGCCAGGUCAACCUCCCUAGAAGGAAUGUGAUCAGGUUCCAGAACACCUUUUCAAGCCCGUCUCUGGAUAUUAAAAAGGGACCAGCCGACACAGAGCAUCUUGAGCAGAGCACGACAUUCGACUUGGACCUUAGAAACUUGGUGCAGAUGACGCAGCAUGAGACUGUCUUUCAUCCACCGUAUCUAAAUUUAAACGCCUGUCUUCGCCUCCUGUGGAACUUCAUCUGCUUCCCCAUAACAUUGUAAAAAAAAACUUGGCUUCACAUGGUGUUUAGGUUAGAGCUGCGAGAGGAGUAAAAAGUUUUGAGUGCAAGAAACAUCAAGGAGAGAAUGCAAACUGGUGUGGAAACGUGAUGCAGCUCAGGAAACUGCUUGUGACACUGCACAGCUGGCACAGGCGUCCAGGUGAGAACCCGGUGCCCUGGCGCCUCGGCGGUCCAGGCUCGGUGCAUCUCAGAAACCAGCCCUCCAUUUCUUCACCCAUAACUGUUACUCCUUCCCACCCUUCUCCCAUCCCCGUCCUCAUUUCAACAGAAAAAGACCUUCUCUCUUAACCAACAUUUGAGUUAUUCGA